UUGUGACGUUACCUGAACCGUUGCUUCGGCGGGCGGCCCCGGGGAAACCCCCGGGCGCCCCCCGGCCCCACCGCGGGCGCCCGCCGGAGGUCACCAAACUCUUGAUAACCCAAAUGGCCUCUCUGAGUCUUCUGUACUGAAUAAGUCAAAACUUUCAACAACGGAUCUCUUGGUUCUGGCAUCGAUGAAGAACGCAGCGAAAUGCGAUAAGUAAUGUGAAUUGCAGAAUUCAGUGAAUCAUCGAAUCUUUGAACGCACAUUGCGCCCGCCAGUAUUCUGGCGGGCAUGCCUGUUCGAGCGUCAUUUCAACCAUCAGGCCCCCGGGCCUGCGUUGGGGACCUGCGGCUGCCCGCAGGCCCUGAAAACCAGUGGCGGGCUCGCUAGUCACACCGAGCGUAGUAGCAAUAUCUCGCUCAGGGCGUGCUGCGGGUUCCGGCCGUUAAACCACCCCAAAACCCCAAGGUUGACCUCGGAUCAGGUAGGAAGACCCGCUGAACUUAAGCAUAUCAAUAAGC
rnacentral:rRNA from 1 species